rnacentral:rRNA from 1 species
CCUACGGGCGGCAGCAGUGAGGAAUAUUGGUCAAUGGACGAGAGUCUGAACCAGCCAAGUAGCGUGAAGGAUGACUGCCCUAUGGGUUGUAAACUUCUUUUAUAUGGGAAUAAAAUGUUCCACGUGUGGGAUUUUGUAUGUACCAUAUGAAUAAGGAUCGGCUAACUCCGUGCCAGCAGCCGCGGUAAUACGGAGGAGCCGAGCGUUAUCCGGAUUUAUUGGGUUUAAAGGGAGCGUAGGUGGAUUGUUAAGUCAGUUGUGAACGUUUGCGGCUCAACCGUAAAAUUGCAGUUGAAACUGGCAGUCUUGUGUACAGUAGAGGUGGGCGGAUUUCGUGUUGUAGCGGUGACAUGCUUAGAUAUCACGAAGAACUCCGAUUGCGAAGGCAGUUCACUGGACUGCACCUGACACUGAGGCUCGAAAGUGUGGGUAUCAAACCGGAUUAGAUCCCCCAGUAGUC